GUGCCAUUUAAAGUUUGAGGCAGUGCCUUAUUAAGAGGCUAACACAGACUGGUAAAGUAAGUUUCCAUAAAACCCAGAGAAGAGAUUGUCAAACUGGUCUUUGGAGCCUGUCUGGAGUCAAGCU
ensembl:snoRNA